rnacentral:rRNA from 1 species
GUGGGGAAUAUUGGUCAAUGGGCGCAAGCCUGAACCAGCCAUGCCGCGUGAAGGAAUAAGGCCCUAUGGGUCGUAAACUUCUUUUGUGGUGGAGCAAUAAGGUGUACGUGUACACCGAUGAGAGUACAUCACGAAUAAGCAUCGGCUAACUCCGUGCCAGCAGCCGCGGUAAUACGGAGGAUGCAAGCGUUAUCCGGAUUUAUUGGGUUUAAAGGGUGCGUAGGCUGUGGGGAAAGUCAGGGGUGAAAGCCCGGCGCUUAACGCCGGAACUGCCUUUGAUACUUCUCCGCUGGAAUACGGAUGCCGUGGGAGGAAUGAGUAGUGUAGCGGUGAAAUGCAUAGAUAUUACUCAGAACACCGAUUGCGAAGGCAUCUCACGAAUCCGUCAUUGACGCUGAGGCACGAAAGCGUGGGGAUCAAACAGG